UACGGGGGGGGCAAGCGUUGUUCGGAAUUACUGGGCGUAAAGGGCUCGUAGGCGGCCAACUAAGUCGGACGUGAAAUCCCCAGGCUCAACCUGGGAACUGCGUCCGAUACUGGAUGGCUUGAAUCCGGGAGAGGGAUGCAGAAUUCCAGGUGUAGCGGUGAAAUGCGCAGAUAUCAGGAGGAACACCGAUGGCGAAGGCAGCUCGCUGGGACGGUACUGACGCUGAGGCGCGAAAGCGUGGGGAGCGAACAGG
rnacentral:rRNA from 1 species